rnacentral:misc_RNA from 1 species
CGGAUUUGGACCAUUGUAAUCAGCUGGUGUUUUGUAGCGGUGGUAUCUCGGCUCCUAUGAUGGCAGAUAUUGUUCAAGGCUUUACUAGAGAGUUUGCAAGUCCUGAGGGGCAAUGGGGGAUAGGGUUGAAUCUUGGACAAGCGCCCAUCAGUUGGGUGUGGCUCCUCCUUGGUGGGUGCGCACUCUCACGCAGGUCUUGACUUUGUCUUGUGAUGUUGGUUGGAGACAGGAUGCUGGAGUGGGGGCCUCGGGUUGGGUUUUGAUGGACCAUGAAGGUCAACUUUGUGGUGUAAGUUGCCGACGUGUCAGUGGUGGGUAUGACUCUUUGAUGUUGGAGGUGUGGGAUAUUGCUAAUGGGUUGAAGGUGUUGCUUCUCGGGGUUUCCAUCCGCUUAUUGUGGAGUCAAAUAGUUUGACAUCAAUUAGACUUUUAAAGGGGGAAAAGAUAAAUUUGACAACAAUCAUGUCACUUGUGGAGG